rnacentral:rRNA from 1 species
GGAAUCUGCCUGAUAGUGGGGGAUAACGUUCGGAAACGGACGCUAAUACCGCAUACGUCCUACGGGAGAAAGCAGGGGACCUUCGGGCCUUGCGCUAUCAGAUGAGCCUAGGUCGGAUUAGCUAGUUGGUGAGGUAAUGGCUCACCAAGGCUACGAUCCGUAACUGGUCUGAGAGGAUGAUCAGUCACACUGGAACUGAGACACGGUCCAGACUCCUACGGGAGGCAGCAGUGGGGAAUAUUGGACAAUGGGCGAAAGCCUGAUCCAGCCAUGCCGCGUGUGUGAAGAAGGUCUUCGGAUUGUAAAGCACUUUAAGUUGGGAGGAAGGGCAGUUACCUAAUACGUGACUGUCUUGACGUUACCGACAGAAUAAGCACCGGCUAACUCUGUGCCAGCAGCCGCGGUAAUACAGAGGGUGCAAGCGUUAAUCGGAAUUACUGGGCGUAAAGCGCGCGUAGGUGGUUUGUUAAGUUGAAUGUGAAAUCCCCGGGCUCAACCUGGGAACUGCAUCCAAAACUGGCAAGCUAGAG